GACAGAGGUCUCGAGCGUUAGGCGGAAUCACUGGGCUUAAAGCGUGUGUAGGCGGAUGUCUAAGUACCUUGUGAAAUCCCACGGCUUAACCGUGGAGUUGCUUGGUAUACUGGAUGUCUUGAGCCAGCUAGGGGCAACCGGAACAAAUGGUGGAGCGGUGAAAUGCGUAGAUAUCAUUUGGAACGCCAAUGGUGAAAACAGGUUGCUGGGGCUGUGCUGACGCUGAGACACGAAAGCCAGGGGAGCAAACGGG
rnacentral:rRNA from 1 species